rnacentral:rRNA from 1 species
CCUACGGGGGGCAGCAGUGAGGAAUAUUGGUCAAUGGACGAGAGUCUGAACCAGCCAAGUAGCGUGAAGGAUGACUGCCCUAUGGGUUGUAAACUUCUUUUAUAAAGGAAUAAAACGAGGCACGUGUGCCUUUUUGCAUGUACUUUAUGAAUAAGGAUCGGCUAACUCCGUGCCAGCAGCCGCGGUAAUACGGAGGAUCCGAGCGUUAUCCGGAUUUAUUGGGUUUAAAUGGAGCGUAGAUGGGUUGUUAAGUCAGUUGUGAAAGGUUGCGGCUCAACCGGAAAAUUGCAAUUGAUACUGGCAGUCUUGAGUACAGUGGAGGUAAGCGGAAUUCGUGGUGUAGCGGUGAAAUGCUUAGAUAUCACGAAGAACCCCGAUUGCGAAGGCAGCUUACUAAACUGUGACUGACAUUGAUGCUCGAAAGUGUGGGUAUCAAACAGGAUUAGAUACCCCAGUAGUC